rnacentral:tRNA from 1 species
GGCUGGGUGCGCCGGGUCGGCCCCCGCUCCGGACGGGGGCCGGGGCUGCUGUUCCUGGGCGGCAUCCUGCUC